rnacentral:rRNA from 1 species
UACGUAGGGUGCAAGCGUUAAUCGGAAUUACUGGGCGUAAAGCGUGCGCAGGCGGUUAUGUAAGACAGGUGUGAAAUCCCCGGGCUUAACCUGGGAAUGGCAUUGUGACUGCAUAGCUAGAGUGUGUCAGAGGGGGGUAGAAUUCCACGUGUAGCAGUGAAAUGCGUAGAGAUGUGGAGGAAUACCGAUGGCGAAGGCAGCCCCCUGGGAUAACACUGACGCUCAUGCACGAAAGCGUGGGGAGCAAACAGG